rnacentral:lncRNA from 1 species
GGACAUAGAGCGACACACGCGCUCGCUCGCCUCGUCUGGCACAGGCCGGGCGCGCACGACAUGCACGUCUUCUUUCUAAUUAAAAAAAGAAAGGGGGGGCGGUAAGGCGCCUAUGGUUUGACAGGCUCGCAACUUACAAAGGGCACUCGCUGCUCGCAGGCCUGCUCUUUCUAUUAUGAUUUCUAUGUCUAUGAAAGCUCCUUUGACUCCAGCCCCAUAAGCUAUUCUUUCACCAGCACCUGCACCUACGAGACGACUAUUGCUAUUAUUUUUCAUUGCCAUUCUUCUUCCUACUUCGAGGGGAUCUGUAAAGAGAAGAAAUGGACAAAAAAAUGAGCUAAAGCCAAGCGAACAAUUAAACAACUCGAGUGAAAAAGCCAGGAAA